GUGUGGUAGGGGCAGAGGGAAUUCCCGGUGUAGCGGUGAAAUGCGUAGAUAUCGGGAAGAACACCAGUGGCGAAGGCGCUCUGCUGGGCCAUAACUGACGCUCAUGGACGUAAGCCAGGGAGCGAAAGGGAUUAGAUACCCCUGUAGUCCUGGCCGUAAACGAUGAACACUAGGUGUCGGGGGAAUCGACCCCCUCGGUGUCGUAGCCAACGCGUUAAGUGUUCCGCCUGGGGAGUAGGCACGCAAGUGUGAAACUCAAAGGAAUUGACGGGGGCCCGCACAAGCGGUGGUGUAUGUGGUUUAAUUCGAUGCAACGCGAAGAACCUUACCAGGGUUUGACAUCCUGCUAAUCUCUUGGAAACGAGAGAGUGCCUUCGGGAACGCAGUGACAGGUGGUGCAUGGCUGUCGUCAGCUCAUGUCGUGAGAUGUUGUGUUAAGUUCAGCAACGAGCGCAACCCAAGUCGUUAGUUGCCAGCAUUUAGUUGGGCACUCUAGCGAGACCGCCGGUGAUAAACCUGAGGAAGGUGUGGAUGACGUCAAGUCAUCAUGCCCCAUACAUCCUGGGCUACACACGUACUACAAUGCUACGGACAAAGGGCAGCAAGCUCGCGAGAAUUAGCAAAUCCCAUAAGCAGUGACUCAGUUCAGAUCGUAGGCUGCAACUCGUCUACGUGAAGGAGGAAUCGCUAGUAAUCGCAGGUCAGCAUACUGUGGUGAAUACGUUCCCGGGCCUUGUACACACCGCCCGUCACAACAUGGAAGUUGGCCACGCCCGAAGCCGUUACUCCAACCCUUGUGGAGGAGGACGUCGAAGGUGGGGCUGAUGACUGGGGUGAAGUCGUAACAAGGUAGCCGUACCGGAAGGUGCGGCUGGAUCACCUCCUAA
rnacentral:rRNA from 1 species